GCACAAGCGGUGGAGCAUGUGGUUCAAUUCGAAGCAACGCGCAGAACCUUACCAGCUCUUGACAUGCCACGACGGUUUCCAGAGAUGGAUUCCUCCCCGCAAGGGGCGUGGACACAGGUGCUGCAUGGCUGUCGUCAGCUCGUGUCGUGAGAUGUUGGGUUAAGUCCCGCAACGAGCGCAACCCUCGCCCUUAGUUGCCAUCAUUCAGUUGGGCACUCUAAGGGGACUGCCGGUGAUAAGCCGCGAGGAAGGUGGGGAUGACGUCAAGUCCUCAUGGCCCUUACGGGCUGGGCUACACACGUGCUACAAUGGCGGUGACAAUGGGAUGCAAUGGAGCAAUCCUGCGCAAAUCUCAAAAAGCCGUCUCAGUUCGGAUUGUGCUCUGCAACUCGAGCACAUGAAGUUGGAAUCGCUAGUAAUCGCAGAUCAGCACGCUGCGGUGAAUACGUUCCCGGGC
rnacentral:rRNA from 1 species